UUUUUGUGGUUUGCAAAGUGAAACUGACCUGAAUGAAGCUUGCUUGUCUUUGCUUUUUGUUUGAGCUGCGGGUGUUGCUGCCAACAUGUAGGCAUUUCAGGUCAAAAUCGAGUUUAAGAUAUAUAUCCAAUACAUGUCGGCCAUUUUUCAUGGAUUGCAGAUCCUUACCACUGAAGGCCGGAUGCAUCUGCGUAGUCCUGUUCUUGACCUUAUUCAUCUCGCUGAAGUUGGGCACAGCAUCGGGAAUUGAAUCAUUUCCUGCUGAAAUCACGUGUGCAAGGGAUCAAGAUGUCUCCCCCAGGUUGACUCUUACUCGCUUGUCUUGCAUCUUGAAUGUGCCGACAAGCUAGAAAACAGAGUCACAGGAAAGGCACCAAGAUAUCUUAUGGCUACUUACUUACCUGGAGACCCGCAGAUUGGCUUCGGCCACCUCGUCGAACCUUUGACCGACAAGGCUGGAGACUUUGAAGGAUAUGGACCCUAGGUGGUCUACAGUGUUGACGAGGGCCUUCACGGCGUACUCCUUAAGAUUGCUCACCACCCUGUGCCCAUAUGCAUACACAUAAAUAAAAAAUGAGCGAACCAGGCACAAAUUGCAAAAGCGUGGAAGCUUGCUGCUGAUUAGCUAGAUGAUCUUGUGCAGCAGCAUACGGGAGGAAGCAAUGGGUAUAUGGACAUACGCCUGCUUUCCGUCUUCCUGCAUGUAGGCUAGUUCGAAAUACUCAGCUGCAGAAUACAGUUGCGACCGCAGCGUCAUGAGAUCCUGCAUAGAGAGAUAAGAUGAAUGUCUCCCCCAUCUGCACCUCCUCCGGAGCGACGCGCAUCCCCGUGUCAGCGGCGGCGCCUCUUCUCGGG